GUGUAUGGCCUUACCACCCCGAAUGCGCCCGAUCUCAUCUGAUCUUAGAAGCUAAGCAGGGUCGGGCCUGGUUAGUACUUUGAUGGAAGUUUAAUGAGAAGUUUGACAAAGUAUACA
rnacentral:rRNA from 1 species